AUAGAACAGAGCCCAUCUGGCUGCUAAGGCCUUUCCAUGGCUUCCAUUCCUGUGUAAGCCUAACCAGUAAAACUCAGAAUCCUUAAUAGCUAGACAAUAUUUGAGGCCAGCUGAUGGUAAAAACUGAUUACAUCAUUCUUUGGCAGUAAAAGCUGAAGGACCUUGAUCACUGCAGCAAUGCCCAGUGCCAAGACAUGGACCAACAACUCACUGGCCUCUUUCAAUCUCUUCUAAAGAAGCCAGCCUAAGCUCCAACCACCACCGCCAUCAUCUUCAAACUUCAGAGUGCCCAGAGAAUGGAACCAGCAACCAGGAGUUGGCAUAGACUGAAGACCCAGUUGGGAUGGGAGUGGCACUGGAGAUUGUGCCCUGUGUAAGAGCUGCAGGAUCCUAAGUGUCCGAGACUGAACUUCCAACCAUCUCAGAGGG